CUCACAUUGGUUUUGAUGCUGUCACAGGCGAGUUUACAGGGAUGCCAGAGCAGUGGGCCCGCUUGCUUCAGACAUCAAAUAUCACCAAGUCGGAGCAGAAGAAAAACCCGCAGGCUGUUCUGGGUGUAUUGGAAUUUUAUAACUCGAAGAAGACCUCUAAUAGCCAGAGCUUUACAGUUACCUUGUGGGAGAUGGGCUAUGAGUCGUAAUGGAAUACUUGGCUGGAGGUUCUUUGACAUGGAAUACUUGGGAACCCACAUGGAUGAAGGCCAGAUUGGAGCUGUGUGCCAUGAGGUAAGGCCAGAGGCCAGCCAGCCUUGAGCAGGACGUGGCCUCCAUAUCUAUGUAUCUCAAAGUUCUGCACCUCAUGAGAUCUCAGCCUGGGCACUGUAGAGGUGGGAGAAAUUAACUGAACUCCCCCUUCAUUCUCUUAUUACACCUGUUUUGAAAUUUCUAUUAACAUAAUAUUUUAUUUAAUGAUAACUUUAUUU